rnacentral:tRNA from 1 species
GCGCGGGUGUUGAAACCGGUAGACAAGCAGGCUUGAGGUGCCUGUGCCGCAAGGCGUGGAGGUUCGAGUCCUCUCCCGCGCACCC